rnacentral:rRNA from 1 species
AUUGAACGCUGGCGGCAUGCCUUACACAUGCAAGUCGAACGGCAGCAUGGGUGCUUGCACCUGAUGGCGAGUGGCGAACGGGUGAGUAAUGCAUCGGAACGUACCCGGAAGUGGGGGAUAACGUAGCGAAAGUUACGCUAAUACCGCAUAUUCUGUGAGCAGGAAAGCGGGGGAUCGCAAGACCUCGCGCUUCCGGAGCGGCCGAUGUCGGAUUAGCUAGUUGGCGGGGUAAAGGCCCACCAAGGCGACGAUCCGUAGCGGGUCUGAGAGGAUGAUCCGCCACACUGGGACUGAGACACGGCCCAGACUCCUACGGGAGGCAGCAGUGGGGAAUUUUGGACAAUGGGCGCAAGCCUGAUCCAGCCAUGCCGCGUGAGUGAAGAAGGCCUCGGUU